rnacentral:lncRNA from 1 species
UGUAGACUUCUGGUAACUGGAUGAUGACAAAAAAUUAAGUAUCACCCCUGCAAUAUUAAAAUUUGAUCAAAUGUUCCCUAAACAAACAAGAGAAAAGCUGAAUUUAAAUGCAUUACGUAUUUGCCCACUAUGCUGCCCUUCGCCAUAAACUUGGCUUGAUGUGAGGUGGAAUGCACUGGCACAUACCCGUGACAGGAGGAGUUAUCAUAAAAAAAGAAUGAAACCAAUAUAAAAGAGACAUAGCACUUUAUAUAUCCAAUAGCAGACAUGUUUUCAACCCAUUGCCAUUUAGAACUCUUAAGUUCUACAUAUACAAAAAUAUUUAAUUUAUAUAGUAUCUAUAUGUGAUGGAAGGAGUGAGUCUUGAAUAAAAUACUCAAGUCUGUCUUUACUAUAACAACAAAUCAUUCCUGCUCUCUAAUUGUGUAUGGUUAGAACUUUUUUUUAAACAGUUUUAACUGGUUUGUUGGACAUUGCUAGCUACAAGCAGCAACUGAAGUAGCAUUUAAGAUGGACCACAGCUCAGUUAAAAAUUAAUAUAAAAAGCUAAUGUAGUCACAAAAAUGGGCUUAUUUUGUAUGAGCUUCAAUGUUCAGCCAGCUAUUCAUCGUUUGACCCAUGAGGGAUCUUUGGUGAUAUCCGUAUUUUCUGGGCCAAGUACAGCCAGCCCACGAGUGCUCUUCCCAACUGCAAGAUACCUGCAAGAAAAAAACAAAUAACUUGCUGCAUUCAGUUUUCUGUGACUCUCCUAUGCAAGCUGAAAAUAUUUCAGGAAAAAAAAAAUACACCCAUUGGUUCCUUUUACAACAGCUUUUUGAAUUUAUAAUGUGUUUUUCUCCAGCUAUCACAAUACAAUAGUCACUGUGGCCUAGCCAUAACUAGCCUCGCUGCUUAAACUUCUUCUGCAGUGCAUUUCAAGUCUAAAUAAGCACAAAGUGGUAGGAGUCCAGAAGAACCAACUCAUUUAGCCAGGAGGUGGAAGGCAGAGUAGACAUGUUCUUUAGAGAGUUACUGGGCUCUGGGCUUUUCAAAAGUAGAACAAUCACAUGCAGAAUCAGGGGGGAGGUUACAUCUGCUAGAGUGCAAUAUACCGGAUAUAAUUAAAUCUCUCUAGGUUACAAAGGCAAAUAGUGAAAGUAGGACAAAAGGCCAACGAAAGAAAUACAAGAGCAUAAUUGUGGCAACUUUUACAAACUUGUUCAAGUUGUUCAGCAUUUGUGCAAUUUUUCAAACAAGCAACUUUCCCCCCAAAAUUCUGAGCACAGACUUACUCAUUUGCUACAUCAACCAGGUUAUCUUUGUUAACAGCAAAAAGCUGCUCCCUGUGUGACUGCUUCAUUUCAUCUGAAAUCCCGUAUAAGAAAUGGUCCAUACCUAAAACAAAACAAAGCCACAUGCUGCAAUAAUGUACUGGAAUCCUGGCUACAACUGCAUGCAAGGAGUGCAGAGUAAGACAAAUACUUGUGCAGGGAGGGAAGAACAGAGACUACGAUUUGACAACCGUUCUGAAACAAGAUCUAGUUGUAAACCAAAGGUCACAGACUGGGUAAAGUACCUAUCUAGGAAAAAAAAAAUCAUUGCAUUUUGGCAAGCAAUUUAGUUUUAUGUUUUAACUUCUUAAAAAAAAAAAACCCAGCUUGCAGAAGAAAUUAAGACAUUCAUAGUUAAAAUCAUGUCUGGAAAAUAAUCCUUCCGACUCCUAUUGAAAAAAAAAACAAAACAAUUUUUAUUAUAGUUGCUUAUAUUUAACUCCAAGCCAGAAUUGUUUUCUCUAUUCUACCUUCAUCUUCUAACUGCAUUCAUUCACCUAACAUCAAGGAGCAGCAUGAAUAUACACACAUAUACUUCAGUAGAGAGACAGAACAUGUUCAGCAUUUAUGAAAAGGAGCAAUGGGAAUCAGCAUCCACCAAGUGCAAAUUUUACCACAUAAUUUAGUUUAGCCAACUAUUUUCUCUCCUUUAAAUCUAAAGGCAAAUAAAUAUCCCAGUGCUGAGAGGCUGGUGACAACGUACCUUUAUCUGAAGGAGCUAUUGGUGCAUCUACAGCAGCAAAUACUGCCAAUUUAGCUUCAUCAAUAUCUUCUUGCGUGAAUUCUCCAGACUUGGCCCACUCGACUGCUUUUUCAAAUGUUUUCAAGGUGGCUAACGAAUUUGGGUCCCUUAAGUGGGGAAAAAAGUGAAAUUACCAACUUGAGUCUUACAAAAUGACGUACAGUAAUUACUUUGUUCUUACUUCAUUCACUUUACUAUGCAUUACACAGAAUGUGCAUACAUGGGGAUUAAACCAAACUUUUUAGAAUAGUGUGAACCAAAUGUAUUUUGAAUUUUUGAGUACACAAGGGCAGCAAGCUCAGUUGCUAAAAGCAGCUUCGUGGCAGUGAGCAGAGAAUUCGUAUUAAAGAGAGUAAACCAGCAGUUCAUAAUCCACUAUCAAUUUGCUGCAGCAGUUUAGUAGGCAUAGCCUUCAUUAAGAACAACAGUAGUAUUUAUGAUAUACCGUAUCUUCUUUAAGUUGCUUUUCCUGCUACACCUCUUUUUGCUCUCCGUAAAACAGGUGCAACAGGUCGACAACUACUGAAAUACUAACCAAGACAAGUCCUGCCACGUUGAAAACUUUGCAGAGAGGCAAUGCUGCUCAGAUUUCAGCCAGGAAUCUUGCCCAAGUGCUGUGUUAGUCUAUCUUUGGUAAAGAAAAUAAUUUAAAACAGAACUCAUCGGACUCAUGACAUUUCUAGUGGGGAUUACAACUAGUCUUCAUUACUUUCAAUUCAAACUUAAUCUGUAAAUGCCUCUGUAAAACUAAAGCAAGUUAACUGUUCCAGACUGACAAAAAGUGGAAAAGAAAAUACACCUUCUCCAUUCUAGCUCAUUACUAGCAAUGCUUUCCGAAUGUUUUUUGCUGAAUCUCUGAUUAUUCCAGCCACGAUCACCAAAAGAGGCUGCGCAUUUUCAAAAGCAAGACCAGCAGAAAAAGCGCCCUUCUACUCCAGGAUCUCAACAGUUUAAGAGUCUCCUCAACCCAUGACAAAAUAAAUGAAAACCCAUCUUACAUAAACCUGGUGCAAAGACAACACUGGUUGCUACAACAGCAGAGAUAAGCUAGACUUUCCCAGGGAUAGAAACUAGAGGAAGCAAGGAGACGUUUGUUAACAAAAUUGAUAUACAUUAAGCAAUUAAUCUUAUCUGCAUACUCAGUGCUGAAUCACGUUCUUGUCAGCCAGUAUUCUAUUUGUUUCAUUUAAUCUUGAAGGAGAGCUACAACUAAGUCAAAGAUGCAUGCAAGUGUAGUCAGUGGUCCCCUAUGACAUGAACUUACCUGUAGGAAUAGAAAGUGAAUAUUCCAUUGUGACUAAGUUUAGCACCUCCACCAUAAGCCCCUCCUUUCUCUCUAAUUUCUCUAUGUAGGAACUUAGAUGUCAUCAGCCUUGCCAGAAUUCGAAGGCUUGCAUAGUCUGUAGCUGUGUACGGUACUGUUCGAACACAUUCCCCAAUAUAGUUCACUGGGAAGGGAAGUACAAAGUGUGUCUUCAUCGGGCAUGGUUUGAAUGUAGGAUCAUUAAUUAGUUUCCUUGUGAUCUGCAAACUACUAAGCAUUUUGCUUCCCACAGGUCUGACUUCUGAAGAUUUCUCAAUCACAUGGGGACGGACAGGUUUUCUCUCCUUUUUACUUCUAGUUAUGCCCUUUAAGAAUUUCUCUAUUUCUUUCGAUGCCUCUGACAUCUGUUGAGGUGCUGCAUUCACAGAACAUCGGAUGUUGUCACUAUUUAACAGAUACUUCUUAAUCCGUGGAAGUUUGCGUAGUAUUGGUUUAAUAUCAGGCAUUUCUGCUAUUCUCUUCAUCAACUUCACCUGAUCCAUCCCACUGAACAUUUCUUGCAGUUCUCCAGAAGGCGUAAGGUUUUUGCUGGCUCUAAUAGAAGCAUAUAAAUGUCCACAAUCUGGAAUCCCAUUUGAUAGUUCCUGGGCAGUCUUCUUAACCAGCACUCUGAAGUGCUCUUCCUCCUCAAAUCGAGGGUUGUUAAAUAUUUCACUCCAUAAAUGCAUCAUGUCUGGCAGAUUUCUAUCCAAGCACAGAGAUGAAAAGAGCACACCCUGUUCAUACACAUCCAGGUGUGAAUCAUCUGGAAUGAUAUGUGGGCUGACAGACAUCCCACCUGUUUUUAGC